rnacentral:rRNA from 1 species
AGGACGAACGCUGGCGGCGUGCUUAACACAUGCAAGUGGAGCGACGAACCAGGGCUUGCCCUGGGGCAGAGCCGCGAACGGGUGAGUAACACGUGGGUUACCUGCCUUGAUGACCGGGACAACCCGAGGAAACUCGGGCUAAUACCGGAUGUGCCCGCAAGGGGAAAGGAAGCUUCGGCCUCCGCAUCAAGAUGGGCCCGCGGCCCAUUAGCUAGUUGGUGAGGUAACGGCUCACCAAGGCUUCGAUGGGUAGCUGGUCUGAGAGGACGAUCAGCCACACUGGGACUGAGACACGGCCCAGACUCCUACGGGAGGCAGCAGUGGGGAAUCUUGCGCAAUGCGCGAAAGCGUGACGCAGCAACGCCGCGUGGGGGAAGAAGGCUUUCGGGUUGUAAACCCUUUCAGUUGGGACGAAGCUUCUCCGGUGAAUAGCCGGACGGAGUGACGGUACCUUCACAAGAAGCACCGGCUAACUACGUGCCAGCAGCCGC